GUCUCCUUCCAUAGUGUGGAAGCUUUGUUCUUUCACUCUUUGCGAUAAAUCUUGCUGCUGCUCACUCUUUGGGUCCACACUGCCUUUAUGAGCUGUAACAUUCACCGCGAAGGUCUGCAGCUUCACUCCUGAGGCCAGCGAGACCACGAGCCCACCAGAAGGAAGAAACUCCGAACACGUCCGAACAUCAGAAGGAACAAACUCUGGACACACCACCUUUAAGAACUGUAACACUCACUGCGAGGGUCCGCAGCUUCAUUCUUGAAGUCAGUGAGACCAAGAACCCACCAAUUCCAGACACACCAUGUUAACUGUAUCUGCAAAACAGAGCCGUGGGACCUCUGGAAGUCUGACCAACCUAUUUCCAACUGUGCUUCUAGAAGCAUGUUCUGUCUUCAGAAUCUGGUUGGCAUCAAUGCUGAGACCUAAACCACAAGCAUGAGGCCCUCACCAGACUCCACCAGAAGUGGCCACCCAAUAUUGAACUUCCCAGCCUUCAGAAUUGGGGAUCCCACCAGUCCCUUUCUAUGGGGGAGAACUUGGAGUGGUUCUGCUGUCAGUUUACACAGUGAGAUCUUACACCAUAUGUAACUCUCAAGGCUGGAGAGAUGAUAUGCCGCCAACAUGGUUGGGAAACAUGGAGAAGCAGAAAGCUCGUAGCUGGACUACCCUACAAGGAGAAGUGGCUUCUGUGAAAUUGUAAAAUGCUGCACACUGCUGCUCUUCCUCCCUGGUUAUUCUCCUUCUGAACCCUCAUAUAUUAUUUUAAAAAUUUUAAACAAAUAAACAAGCAAAACACAAGGAUGCAUAAGUCAGCCUUUCUUCCAGCUCUCUGGCUUGGUGGAGGGAUGGAAGUAGGGUGGAAACGGAAAAACACAUUGUCGGGCCAAAUAGUAUUUUACCUCCAAACAUGGGCCACC
rnacentral:lncRNA from 1 species